CCGCCGGCGACCGGCGCACGGGUGAGUAACACGUAUGCAACCUGGCCGUGACAGAUGGAUAACCGGGAGAAUCCCGCCUAAUACAACAUAAUGCCGGGAGGGGACAUCCCCUGCCGGCCAAAGGGGGCGACCCCGGUCACGGAUGGGCAUGCGGCGCAUUAGGUAGUUGGUGGGGCAACGGCCCACCAAGCCGACGAUGCGUAGGGGUUCUGAGAGGAAGGUCCCCCACAUUGGAACUGAGACACGGUCCAAACUCCUACGGAAGGCAGCAG
rnacentral:rRNA from 1 species